rnacentral:rRNA from 1 species
GAUGAACGCUAGCUACAGGCUUAACACAUGCAAGUCGCGGGGAAACGAUAUUGGAAGCUUGCUUCCGAUAGGCGUCGACCGGCGCACGGGUGAGUAACGCGUAUCCAACCUGCCCAUCACUUGGGGAUAAGCUUGCGAAAGUAAGACUACUACCCAAUGAUAUCCGUCGAAGACACCUGAAAGAGAUUAAAGAUUUAUCGGUGAUGGAUGGGGAUGCGUCUGAUUAGCUUGUUGGCGGGGUAACGGCCCACCAAGGCGACGAUCAGUAGGGGUUCUGAGAGGAAGGUCCCCCACAUUGGAACUGAGACACGGUCCAAACUCCUACGGGAGGCAGCAGUGAGGAAUAUUGGUCAAUGGGCGAGAGCCUGAACCAGCCAAGUAGCGUGCAGGAUGACGGCCCUAUGGGUUGUAAACUGCUUUUAUAAGGGAAUAAAGUGAGUCUCGUGAGACUUUUUGCAUGUACCUCAUGAAUAAGGACCGGCUAAUUCCGUGCCAGCCGCCGCGGUAA